rnacentral:rRNA from 1 species
AGCGAACGCUGGCGGCAGGCUUAACACAUGCAAGUCGAACGCCCCGCAAGGGGAGUGGCAGACGGGUGAGUAACACGUGGGAACGUACCCUUUGGUUCGGAAUAACUUGGGGAAACUCAAGCUAAUACCGGAUAAGCCCUUAUGGGGAAAGGUUUACUGCCGAAAGGAUCGGCCCGCGUCCGAUUAGCUAGUUGGUGAGGUAAUGGCUCACCAAGGCGACGAUCAGUAGUUGGUCUGAGAGGAUGAUCAGCCACACUGGGACUGAGACAAGGCCCAGGAUCCGACGGGAGGCAGCAGUGGGGAAUAUUGGACAAUGGGGGUAACCCUAAUCCAGCCAUGCCGCGUGAGUGAUGAAGGCCUUAGGGUUGUAAAGCUCUUUUACCCGGGACGAUAAUGACUGUACCGGGAGAAUAAGCCCCGGCUAACUUCGUGCCAGCAGCCGCCGUAA